rnacentral:rRNA from 1 species
UACGAAGGGGGCUAGCGUUGCUCGGAAUUACUGGCGUAAAGCGCACGUAGGCGGCUUCUUAAGUCGGUGGUGAAAUCCUGGAGCUCAACUCCAGAACUGCCUUCGAUACUGGGAGCUCGAGUCCGGGAGAGGUGAGUGGAACUGCGAGUGUAGAGGUGAAAUUCGUAGAUAUUCGCAAGAACACCAGUGGCGAAGGCGGCUCACUGGCCCGGUACUGACGCUGAGGUGCGAAAGCGUGGGGAGCCAAACAGG